AUCAUUGAAAUUGGAUGCCAUAAAAUGCUUAAGAAGAGUACAACCAGUACAAUCAUCGCAUAGUUGACCCGAAAGUAGCUCAGAUUUCGCUUCACCCGAGAUGCGAAAUCGCUGACGGAAAUAGGUAGGGUAUAGGAAGACGGAUGGGUCAAUAGCUCUCUCCAUGGACGACGACGAGCAUAGACGGUAAGCAUGCCGGAUCUAGCCCGACUGAAAGAGAAGUCAUAAGAUGGACGCAUGAUUAUUCAAUUAGGG
rnacentral:misc_RNA from 1 species